rnacentral:rRNA from 1 species
UUGUACACACCGCCCGUCACACCAUGAGAGUUUGUAACACCCAAAGUCGGUGAGGUAACCUUUUAUUAGGAGCCAGCCGCCUAAGGUGGGACAGAUGAUUAGGGUGAAGUCGUAACAAGGUAGCCGUAGGAGAACCUGCGGCUGGAUCACCUCCUUUCUA